GAUGAACGCUGGCGGCGUGCCUAAUACAUGCAAGUCGAACGGAAGGUAGCAAUACCUUUAGUGGCGAACGGGUGAGUAACGCGUUGGUGACCUGCCCCGAAGCGUGGGAUAACAGUCCGAAAGGAUUGCUAAUACCACAUGUGGUCCAAGAGACUAGAGGCUUAUGGACUAAAGGAGACAUUCACUUCGGGAGGGGCCUGCGUCCCAUCAGCUAGUUGGUAGGGUAACGGCCUACCAAGGCGAUGACGGGUAGGGGACCUGAGAGGGUGGCCCCCCACAAUGGAACUGAAACACGGUCCAUACACCUACGGGUGGCAGCAGUAGGGAAUAUUGCAAAAUGGGCGCAAGCCCGAUGCAGCAACGCCGCGUGGGCGAUGAAGGCCUUCGGGUCGUAAAGCCCUUUUUGAGGGGAGUGAGGAAGGACAGUACCCUCAGAAUAAGCCUCGGCUAACUACGUG
rnacentral:rRNA from 1 species